AUUGAACGCUGGCGGCAGGCCUAACACAUGCAAGUCGAGCGGAUGAAGGGAGCUUGCUCCUGGAUUCAGCGGCGGACGGGUGAGUAAUGCCUAGGAAUCUGCCUGGUAGUGGGGGAUAACGUCCGGAAACGGGCGCUAAUACCGCAUACGUCCUGAGGGAGAAAGUGGGGGAUCUUCGGACCUCACGCUAUCAGAUGAGCCUAGGUCGGAUUAGCUAGUUGGUGGGGUAAAGGCCUACCAAGGCGACGAUCCGUAACUGGUCUGAGAGGAUGAUCAGUCACACUGGAACUGAGACACGGUCCAGACUCCUACGGGAGGCAGCAGUGGGGAAUAUUGGACAAUGGGCGAAAGCCUGAUCCAGCCAUGCCGCGUGUGUGAAGAAGGUCUUCGGAUUGUAAAGCACUUUAAGUUGGGAGGAAGGGCAGUAUGUUAAUACCUUGCUGUUUUGACGUUACCAACAGAAUAAGCACCGGCUAACUUCGU
rnacentral:rRNA from 1 species